rnacentral:rRNA from 1 species
GCAAGCAUCCACAAGCCCGUGAAAAUGCCCUCAACAUCCUCAAGAGAUAUAAAGGAGCCGGUAUCAAGUACACAAUUGUAGCUCAAAACACCUUGCUAAGCCACACCCCCACGGGAAACAGCAGUGAUAAAACUUAAGCAAUAAACGAAAGUUUGACUAAGUCAUGCAUAAUAGAGCUGGUCAACUUCGUGCCAGCCACCGCGGUCAUACGAUGAGCUCUAAUUAAUAAACUACGGCGUAAAGAGUGUUUAAGAAAUACCAAAUAAUUAAGAGAAAACUUAGUUUAAGUCGUAAAAAACCUUAACUAAAGUAAGCCAGCCAACGAAAGUACUCUUAUAUAGUCUGAAUACACGAUAGCUAAGGCCCAAACUGGGAUUAGAUACCCCACUAUGCUUAGCCGUAAACAAUAACAUUUAUACAACAAAAAUCUUCGCCAGAGAACUACUAGCCACAGCUAAAAACUCAAAGGACUUGGCGGCACUUCACAUCCCUCUAGAGGAGCUUGUUCUAUAAUCGAUAAACCCCGAUAAACCUAACCACCUUUUGCUAAAUCAGCCUAUAUACCGCCAUCUUCAGCAAACCUUCCAAAGAACAGAAGUAAGCAAGAGAAUCUACCGUUAAAAAGUUAGGUCAAGGUGUAGCCAAUAAAGUGGUAAGAAAUGAGCUACAUUUCUAAAAUUUAGAAAAUACGAAGUCCAUUAUGAAAACUAAAGGAUGAAGGAGGAUUUAGUAGUAAAUUAAGAAUAGAGAGCUUAAUUG